UGAUAACGGGUAACAAUGAUUGGUUUAU
rnacentral:piRNA from 1 species